rnacentral:rRNA from 1 species
GCGGACGGGUGAGUAAUGCCUGGGAAAUUGCCCUGAUGUGGGGGAUAACCAUUGGAAACGAUGGCUAAUACCGCAUGAUGCCUUCGGGCCAAAGAGGGGGACCUUCGGGCCUCUCGCGUCAGGAUAUGCCCAGGUGGGAUUAGCUAGUUGGUGAGGUAAUGGCUCACCAAGGCGACGAUCCCUAGCUGGUCUGAGAGGAUGAUCAGCCACACUGGAACUGAGACACGGUCCAGACUCCUACGGGAGGCAGCAGUGGGGAAUAUUGCACAAUGGGCGCAAGCCUGAUGCAGCCAUGCCGCGUGUAUGAAGAAGGCCUUCGGGUUGUAAAGUACUUUCAGUCGUGAGGAAGGUGGUGUAGUUAAUAGCUGCAUUAUUUGACGUUAGCGACAGAAGAAGCACCGGCUAACUCCGUGCCAGCAGCCGCGGUAAUACGGAGGGUGCGAGCGUUAAUCGGAAUUACUGGGCGUAAAGCGCAUGCAGGUGGUUCAUUAAGUCAGAUG